rnacentral:rRNA from 1 species
CAGCCGCCGCGGUAAUACGUAGGUGGCAAGCGUUGUCCGGAAUUAUUGGGCGUAAAGGGCUCGCAGGCGGUUUCUUAAGUCUGAUGUGAAAGCCCCCGGCUCAACCGGGGAGGGUCAUUGGAAACUGGGAAACUUGAGUGCAGAAGAGGAGAGUGGAAUUCCACGUGUAGCGGUGAAAUGCGUAGAGAUGUGGAGGAACACCAGUGGCGAAGGCGACUCUCUGGUCUGUAACUGACGCUGAGGAGCGAAAGCGUAGGGAGCGAACAGGAUUAGAUACCCCGGUAGUCCCUGUCUCUUAUAA